CCCACCCCAGAAAUAUUGCAGGUGUGGCUGCUGUGUCACAUGUGCUUCAGUAGGUGGCAGAGGAGAGAUUGGCUAUGUCUAUGCUCAGUGUUCUGACCUGUGAACAUCAGUUCAUCUGACCUAUGAACAUG
ensembl:snoRNA LOC120093459 small nucleolar RNA SNORA17